rnacentral:rRNA from 1 species
UGGGGAAUAUUGGACAAUGGGCGCAAGCCUGAUCCAGCCAUGCCGCGUGAGUGAUGAAGGCCUUAGGGUUGUAAAGCUCUUUUGGCGGGGACGAUAAUGACGGUACCCGCAGAAUAAGUCCCGGCUAACUUCGUGCCAGCAGCCGCGGUAAUACGAAGGGGACUAGCGUUGUUCGGAAUCACUGGGCGUAAAGCGCACGUAGGCGGAAUUGUAAGUCAGGGGUGAAAUCCCGGGGCUCAACCUCGGAACUGCCUUUGAUACUGCGAUUCUCGAGUCCGAUAGAGGUGGGUGGAAUUCCUAGUGUAGAGGUGAAAUUCGUAGAUAUUAGGAAGAACACCGGUGGCGAAGGCGGCCCACUGGAUCGGUACUGACGCUGAGGUGCGAAAGCGUGGGGAGCAAACAGG